CCGCACCCAAGACCCAGGUUUGCCAGAGAGAGCAACGCCUUUACAAACAAAAAUAUAUUCCCCCAAGAGCCAGUUAGUAAGGCUUUUUUUUUUUUUUUCCCUUUCUCAAAACAGGCCCCAGAAUCAAGCUGGAUGCACUGGGCCCGGAGAGGCCAUGCUUCUGGAGGCCCAGCUGUGGUUAAUUGUCCCCAGAUAAGCCGUCCGCCUCUUGAGAAGCUGCAGGAGCUGGAAGUGGCGGCUUCCGUCUUGCUAGAGCUAUGCUCAGGCCUGUGCAGACUAACCAAACUCGUGGCUUGCAUGCAAUUUGGGAGGUGGGAGAAGACAAAGGGCGAAGAGACGACACACGUGGGGAAAGAUGCCUGGAAAAAAUUGGUGAGAACAGUUGGCUUUCCUCUUCGGGCCAAUUACCUCAUUGUUACAAGAUGACUGCCACAGCUCCAGACAUCACAUCCUCACUUCUGGUGCCCAAAACAAGAAGGGAAGAUCUCUCCUUUAUUGUGGAGGAAUAUGUUUCCCAGAAACCCCCAGUAGGCCUUCUCUGAUGUCUCAUUUGGCGAGUAUUGAAUCCUAUACCCACUCUGGGGCUAUGCACAUUGUCACUCAAACAUAGGAAACAGGACUAGUCCUUAUGGGAAGAAACAACAACAUUUGCCACAAGAGAGCUUAUUUAGAUGGUAAAUCUAUUAGAUGGUAAAUGUCACCUUUGAGGAGGUGACAUUUUGAGCAAGGGCUCAAAGGGAAUGGCAACAAGCCAUGGAAAAACAAUGUGGAGCAAGAGUGUUCAAGCAGUGAGCACAGCAGGUGCAAAAGUCCUGGGGCAGACACAGAAGCCUGCCCCAGCUAGCUCAAGUGGAAAAGAAGGACAGGUUGUUGUGUGAUGGGAUACACUGUUCCCCUACGGAGGGCUCUACCACUCCUACCCUUGGACCUUUUAUGUCAGGAGGAGGCCAAGAAUGAGAAUAGGGGCCUGGGGGGAAUCCUCCGACUGGAGGAAGGAGCCGCAGUGAGAGAAGUCGAUGGGAGAAAGAGAGAGCAUGUUUUCCAGGGUUAUAGUGCACACAAUGUGUUUGCUUCGUGACAUUUAAGGAACUCAAGUCUUGGGAUGCCUUUUAUGGUUGCCGGACUGUGUUUCUUGUCUUCGGCCACUUUCGAAAGGCCACUCUCAGGUCACAUCACCAGAGGAGCUGAGAAUAUCUGCAGCCAGAAAGUUCCAGAGCAGUCAGGCCCCCUGGGGGUGACAAGGGGCCAGCAAACAAGGCAGCCCUGGGGGUGGCUGAGCCAGAUGGUAUCAGGGAGAGCCUCGGUGUGGGGACAGUGUUGAUACCAUGGGAUCAGCGAAAACUCCAUGUCAGGACUCACUCUCCCUUGACAGCAGGCAGGGGGCUCCCCUGGCGUGCCCAGCUGUGAGCACAGGCAGGUCAGGGUUAGGGGACCAGUCAUUGGCAGAGAAGGGGGUACAGGGGAGGUAGUCCGGGUACCUGCGCUCCCACAAGCCUGGCUGUCCCCAGGCCCUCACCUUCAAAGAAGAGAAAUCCAAGUGGGACACCAGAGGGACACUGCAUGUUGACAGCUGGAGGUGUCGCUCUUAGCAGAAAGGGCAGCUCACGUGACCUCACGUGACCCCAUGACCUUUACCCGGUUCGCACCUAAUUUCUCCCAAUCCGAUUCUAUUGUUUCGCUGAAUUUCUAUUUGUUAGAGAAACAGUCACAAACCAAAGGUGGCUGUCACUUUCGCUUGCAGGGUUCAUGGGGUCCCCGGGGUCUGGGCCAGCCAGGCUCCUCCUGCAGGGUCCAAGCACCCCCUCCACACAGACCUGGGUCAGGGACGCAGUGGCCCAUCCGGGCAGCGGGCCCUCACCUGGCGGCUUCCCUUCCCGCCUCUCGCCCUGCCCUCUUGUCAUCCGACCUCUGUGGAUGAAUUGAGCUCCCUCCAUGGGGCUGGGGGGUCGCCGGGCACUGCCAGCCUGUCCUCACCCACAUUGAUUUUCCCCCUCCUUCUCUUGGUCAUCUGCUCACCUGGGGCUCUGACCACCACCUCAGGCAAGCUGGCCAGGAUUGCCUGCUCCCUUGGCUUUGAGGGUCCUGGACCUCUGGCCUUGAACAACACCCUCAAACCAGUCCUGGCACCAACAUGUCCCCGUGGUGAACGUCAGCCCCAUUUAACAGAUGGGGGAACUGAGGUACAGUUGCUGGGAAGGGGCAGAGCUGAGA